UGGGGUGUAGCUCAAUUGGUAGUAGCGCCUGGUUCUGGUCCAGGAGGUUGAGGGUUCGAUUCCUUCCACCCCAG
rnacentral:tRNA from 1 species